GGAGCGAAACGCCGGUGUUUCACAGCGGCGUCACAGAGCCACCGCGCUGCGAUUACUUCGGCGGCAUAGUCCAAAUUUGUCGGACAUCUCAUUCUGUGCUGGAAACACUGGGAGGCAGGAAGUUUGAAAAAACAGCCACUGCCGCCCGCUAUGUCUCGGUCGUGGGUUCGUUAUCCAGUUGUGCGUCAUUCUAAGCCGUUCUGUACAUUUAUACUGGAUAUUAACUGGAGUCAUUUAGCUGUGCUGAUGCUGUUUGCCGUGUGUUUUGCAUCAGUGCUUCGUGACAUCGGCUGUAUUGCGUGUUUUCGCCGACGGCUUACUACCACAAUGGCGGGAUCUGCGUUCGCCGCCUUCGUGUCUCGGUGCGUCUUUGUACGUCGCACGUUCGGAUAACACUUUUUCCGACGGCUGGACAUCCUUCUUGUACCUUGGCGCUAGCUGGAUGACGGGACCUCAUCAUGAUCAGUGUAUUGCUUGCCUGUGUCUACAAGAACCGUCACGUGUGGCCUGUGACAGCAAGCUUUUGUGGGCAGCCAGUGCUCUCCUACGAAGGCUGGCCUACUCUGGCAGCGGCGGCAAUCAUCUUCGAGAUUUAUCCAUGAUCACCUUUGCUGCUAUUUGUCACUCUUGUUAAUUACACUUUCUGCAUCUUUUCUAAUUUAUUAGGUAAUAAAGUAUGAGUAUGUGACAUGGUGUGAAGUUGAUGUCUUGCUGCAUUUUCGCUUGCAAUCACCUUUUAUGCAUGAAAAGCUCAUCGUACAGUUUAUGAAAA